GGACCACCGAGAACAACCUGCCCAUGGACGGGGUGACUUGCGGCUCACUAAGGUGAUUUAAUGCAGCAUUUUAAAAAAUGAUUUGGAAGAUACGUCCACCAGCAACUGAAUCUGAAACACACUUUCCUUCGUCUGAUGGAAGCACCAACAUCCUGGUCAGCCAUAGAUUUGAGGAAAAUGUCAGAGAAAAGAAAGAGUCUAUCUACUUUAAAGCCACGGUGAAGGGACUGUCAUCAUCUCCCAGGAUCGUAGAGCAGCAACGGCUCAUCCACACCUGGCUCUGCU
rnacentral:lncRNA from 1 species